rnacentral:rRNA from 1 species
CCUACGGGAGGCAGCAGUGAGGAAUAUUGGUCAAUGGCCGGAAGUCUGAACCAGCCAUGCCGCGUGAAGGUCAGUGCCCUAUGGGCGUUAAACUUCUUUUGUGCGGGAGCAAUAAUGGUCACGUGUGGCCAGACGAGAGUACCGUACGAAUAAGCAUCGGCUAACUCCGUUCCAGCCGCCGCGGUAAUACGGGGGAUGCAAGCGUUAUCCGGAUUUAUUGGGUUUAAAGGGUGCGUAGGCUGUGAGGUAAGUCGGCGGUGAAAUGCCCCCGCUCAACGGGGUGAAGUGCAAUUGAUACUGCCUUGCUGGAAUGCGGAUGCCGUAGGAGGAAUGUGUGGUGUAGCGGUGAAAUGCAUAGAUAUCACACAGAACACCGAUUGCGAAGGCAUCUCACGAAUCCGCGAUUGACGCUGAUGCACGAAAGCGCGGGUAUCAAACAGGAUUAGAUACCCCAGUAGUC